CCCUUUGUUGUUAAAACUACCUUGUUGCUUUGGCGGGACCGCUCGGUCUCGAGCCGCUGGGGAUUCGUCCCAGGCGAGCGCCCGCCAGAGUUAAACCAAACUCUUGUUAUUAAACCGGUCGUCUGAGUUAAAAUUUUGAAUAAAUCAAAACUUUCAACAACGGAUCUCUUGGUUCUCGCAUCGAUGAAGAACGCAGCGAAAUGCGAUAAGUAAUGUGAAUUGCAGAAUUCAGUGAAUCAUCGAAUCUUUGAACGCACAUUGCGCCCCUUGGUAUUCCGAGGGGCAUGCCUGUUCGAGCGUCAUUACACCACUCAAGCUAUGCUUGGUAUUGGGUGCCGUCCUUAGUUGGGCGCGCCUUAAAGACCUCGGCGAGGCCUCACCGGCUUUAGGCGUAGUAGAAUUUAUUCGAACGUCUGUCAAAGGAGAGGACUUCUGCCGACUGAAACCUUUAUUUUUCUAGGUUGACCUCGGAUCAGGUAGGGAUACCCGCUGAACUUAAGCAUAUCAAUAAGCGGAGGAAAAGAAACCAACAGGGAUUGCCCUAGUAACGGCGAGUGAAGCGGCAACAGCUCAAAUUUGAAAGCUGGCCUUCGGGUCCGCAUUGUAAUUUGUAGAGGAUGCUUUGGGUGAAACGCCAGUCUAAGUUCCUUGGAACAGGACGUCAUAGAGGGUGAGAAUCCCGUAUGUGACUGGAAAUGUUAACCUAUGUAAAGCUCCUUCGACGAGUCGAGUUGUUUGGGAAUGCAGCUCUAAAUGGGAGGUAAAUUUCUUCUAAAGCUAAAUAUUGGCGAGAGACCGAUAGCGCACAAGUAGAGUGAUCGAAAGAUGAAAAGCACUUUGGAAAGAGAGUUAAAAAGCACGUGAAAUUGUUGAAAGGGAAGCGCUUGCAAUCAGACUUGUUUAAACUGUUCGGCCGGUCUUCUGACCGGUUUACUCAGUUUGGACAGGCCAGCAUCAGUUUCGGCGGCCGGAUAAAGGCUCUGGGAAUGUGGCCUUCACUUCGGUGAAGGUGUUAUAGCCCAGGGUGUAAUACG
rnacentral:rRNA from 1 species